rnacentral:lncRNA from 1 species
AUGAAGAAAAAGAUUCUGAAAUUGCUGCCAAAAGAUUCAGACAAUACUUCAAGAUGCGGCAGAUACUUCUUGAUAAGACAGACUGGGUGAAUGUGAAAUGGACACAUGGUGUCUUGAACCACAGCAUACAGGAAGAUGGUUGCAGCUGUGGUGUUUAUGUCAUGCAGAUGGCUAAGGAGACAGUGGAGGCUUUUCCAGUGACACCACCUGAAAUCGUGAUACCUUCCAAUAAGCACCUCCUGUCAGAGCUGCGUAAGGAGAUGGCUGUAACAAUCCUAGAAUCAUCAGUAUUCAACCCCAAAGUUCAUUGCUCCCUGUGUGGAAAAGAGUCUCCUGUUGGAGGUGUGGGUCUGAACACAUGGAUUCAGUGCAGCAACUGUGAAAGAUGGUACCACUCUGUCUGUGUCAACAUGACGAAAAAGGAGAUACACAAAUAUGCCAAAACCCACUGAUGUGAUGCUAACCGUGCCAGUAUACCAGCAACAGCAGUAUGGCGUCUCCAGGUUCCUGAAGAUCAAGCCACUGGCUUUGGGGGUAAAAACACACUGUUCCACAUCAAGAGAAGUAUUCAGUGUGUAUGAAGAAACAGGCAUUUUAUCGUAUGUUUUUGUCUCACAGAUUUUGGAACUAUUGCUAGCCUUAUUGGGACUCUGUUUGACAAUCUGGAAUGUUCAUUUUUCUCUUCUCUGGUCACCAAUCAGCGUAAGUCGAUCAUUUUAAUAUCAAAACAAUAUUAUACAAUGAACAAAUACUGAAUUCUGUUCCAUUUCUGUUCUGCAGUUCAUUUUAACUGGAGUAUUAACAGUCUCGGCAGCAAGCACGUGUAAACCAUGUCUGGUUAGUGUCAGUUUAAAAAAAACUUGUAAUAUUUUUGCUUAAGGGGAACUUUAUGGGUUUUAUUUUAAAACAGAUCUUUUGUACUAUAGGUCAAAUCCUCACAAAUGCUCAGUUAUUUCAAUGCGGCAGCAGCAGCUCUGUCUCUCUGCUUUCAUUUUUAUUACACUUGGGUAAGUGGUUGCUUUGAAACUCACACACGUACAAAAUAUAUUAAAACAAU